rnacentral:rRNA from 1 species
UACGGGGGGGGCAAGCGUUGUUCGGAAUUACUGGGCGUAAAGGGCUCGUAGGCGGCCAACUAAGUCGGACGUGAAAUCCCCAGGCUCAACCUGGGAACUGCGUCUGAUACUGGAUGGCUUGAAUCCGGGAGAGGGAUGCAGAAUUCCAGGUGUAGCGGUGAAAUGCGUAGAUAUCAGGAGGAACACCGGUGGCGAAGGCGGGUCUCUGGGCCGAUACUGACGCUGAGGAGCGAAAGCGUGGGGAGCGAACAGG